UUUCAGAUGCUGGCAGAUAAGGUCUGUAAACAACUUGUCUAAUAAAUCACCAUUUUUAAAAUGCUGCUCUCCAGAGGUGCAACCAUGGUCCUAAGAAAGGGUCUUGCCUUGUGCAAACCUUUGAAGGAACCUUUUUCUUUCCAGAAAUUUUUCUCACUACAAACUCAGUUCCGAGUUAAAGGAAUGUUUCCUAAAUUUUCCACAAAUAAUCAGUUAUCUGCCCAGCCAUGGAGUUUUUCUACUAUUGUCUGCCCAGAUGAAAAUAUUCUCUGCAGCUGCCUGCUUGUGCUUUGUGUACAAUGUCUAAGGAAGUACCACCAUACCCAGGGUUAGCAAAUACAGGACAUUUAUCUCCUUUUUCCCUCUGGUCAGUUUUGUUACCUUUUUUCCAGGAAGAAAAGUCCAGUCUCAUGAUUUUGCUAAUUUGAGUUCACUUUAAAUGGUUCAGUCUCUAACGACUGAAUCACAUCUUAUUGCCAGUGUGCUGAGUGAGGAGCACCAAAAGCCAGGAUUUUUUUCCUAAGGCAUAUAUGAAUGGGCUUCUCAUAAUUUCCUCAAGCUGCCAUACCAGCAGCAGAAGGGGAAGACAUUCCCACAGCCCUGUACACUUGUUUUGUGUAGCAAAGCCACACCUACUCUAUGCCAUGGCAGACUUGGGUGAAAUUGCUUCCAAGCCCAUGAUGUGUAUCCUUCAUGGGUUAAGAUGUUGAGAACCCCCAGCCCCAUUAGGCUUCAGCAUUCUGUGCAACCUGUCUCUAAGAGGGGUUGAGUUUCAGUGGUGUGAGUGGGGAUGGCACUGUAUAUUCUUCACUCUGUGAAGAAACAACACUCCCUUGAGGGAUUUAGUGGGAUUUUCCUUGUUAAUAAUGUGCCUUUUACGUAUGUUUGUGCUUAGGUACAAACUCAGAAGAGCACAGCUCUACUUUUUACAUUUUUACAGAGAGUUUGGACAAUAUCAACUUUCUUCCCAUCGCAUAAGUUCUUGUGAGUUUUUAACAAGGAACUUGGGUGAAACUCUUUCCUGUCAAAAAUCUCACUUUGCCUAAAUCAGCAGCUGAAAUAUAACUUCUACAGCCUCAUGGGGUGUUGCAUCCCCCACCCCCACACCUCACACCUCUCCCCUCCUAACCACACUAUGUUCUCAGGAAUGCUUGUUACUCAGCUCUCAUUAAUUGAUGAAACCUGGGCAGUUACCUCCCUUUGAGCUUAUCACAAACACUGCUCCUAGAACUUCUCUUGCCUAAUGAGCUUCUUUUCUAAUAAGCAGCCUUGAGACUUUAUUUUUCUGUCUGAACAACAGAUUGAGUAAGUUGAUUUUGUUAUUGAGCUUUCUGAGGAAAAUCCCAGUAAUUACUGACCCAGAUUGUGGCCAGGGUAGAAAUUUAAGAAUGACUAAAGCCCAGCAUCUUGAGGCCCGACAAAGAGCAGUGCUAAGUGAGGCCCUUUAGCCUCUCCUGAACCACUGUGGGCACUAUACUCUUGAGUGGACUCCUCUCAGAGCUCACCAAAUCUCCAGUUUGCUAUAUGCAAUCAACUGCUGCUGAAAGCUGGUGAUGAAGCCUGAGCCCAAGUCCCUACUCCCUGAGGAUCAACUCUGCCCAUCGAGAAGAUGAAAAGGCUUCCAACAUGAGAAUUUCACUGAACUCAAGGGGAAUUUUUCAUAGGUAUACCUUUGCACAUGCUUCUUUAUGUCUGUGUACAUGCACAUUAAAAAUGUUGUAUUUUGAGGUUCAUAAUUGCAUUUAUAAUUAAAUAUUAAAAGUUGUGUUAAACUUAUGGUUAAGUUAGAUUUAUGGUUAAAUUACUGUUUCACUUACAGAAGAUUCUAUUGAACCAUUCUGUGGGUGUUAGAUUAGUCAACUGAUGCAGUGCUGCUCUAAUGGUGUGGAUUGGAUAUUGUUAUGAUUUAGUGUUGCUGAAUCCUUUAGACCUAAACUGCUGAUCUAGUCUGAGAUUAAGUUUGGCAGAGGGGUUUAUUCAAAACCUUGUAACUCAAUGGGAGGGUCUCCCUUUCACUUUUCCUUCCUUACCCUUUUUGUGCCUGGUCUCCACAUAAACCACUCUAGACUGCUUUGAAUCUGGUUUCUCUUGGGGGGCAUUAUCUACACAGUAAGCAAUAGAGUGGACCUUGCCAUUGAACUUCUUCAAAUUUGUAUUAAACCUGCUUUUGCUGAUACCUCACCAGUCAUUUUUUAAAAUUACCUAAACCACUCAUUCACAGCAUCUCAUCCCCAGACUUUCAUGUUCCCCCAAGGCUAAAGAAGAGCUUUGUAGAGACUUGGGAACAUGGAUAUGAAUAAAUGUACACAGGAGUUUGUAAACA
ensembl:lncRNA